ACCUAGGGGGGUGGGGGAUGAACCCCUUUAUGUAUAUAUAUGUGUGUAUGUAUAGGUAUAUGUGAGAGGCAAGAGGAGAAAGUGGUCCGGCUACCCCGGCUGUGGGUGGCCGGUUGUGCCGAGCCGAGCCCCAGGGGGCACUACAAGAAACAUAGGUCAAUACCGGCGACAUCUUUAGGGGCGACUUCGAAAUUGUCGCCACUAAAAGCCUAUCCGUGUCCAACUUUUGAGAAUUACUCCCUGACCAUUGAUCUGAAAGCAAUCCGACGGCCCAGCUUUUAUCAUCCCUUAAAGGUGAAUAAAACCUUUAGCGGGCAACCAUUCUCCCAUUUCCCCCCCCCCCCCAAAUCGUUCACCUGCCUCCCCCAACCCUACGACGCCACCACCACUAGAACAAUCUGCAGUUAACCGGCCACCACCACCCUCCGGAUACAGCUCGCCAACACCAGAACCUGCAGUCACCUCCUCGCUGCUCCACAGCCGCCGCUGCACCUGCAGGAUUGUUUCAUUUUUCUCUUUUUUACGGUGUGGAUUGUGUGCAGUUGUAGGUAUACGGUGGUUGCCUUGAGGUAGCACCGUCAUAUAUUUGGUUGCAAUGUUUCUGGUGAUUCCACUAUUUAAGAUAGCAGAACUAGUUGACUUGUAUUUUUCCGUCCCAUGUGGCCUUGCAAGGUGGAGGCUGAGGUGGUGGUCGAGUGAGGUGAGGGAUUACGUCGCUUAACCUGGUUACAUGGCUUGACACUUGAGCUUUAAUGGUUGACAUGGAUCUGCCAUCUUAAAAAGUCGAACUAUUUAACCUGGUUACAUGGCUUGACAAUUGAGCUUUAAUGCUUUCGUCUUUUCAAUUCGUCAUCCAUAUACUUUUGUCAAUACUUUUUGUGUAUAAGCUGAACAUGGGAGUCUCGGGUGCCAUGAUUGCACUCUCGAUUUCUUCGUGGUUUCUUAUGAUCGGAGAAUUUAUAUACAUUUUUGGAGGAUGGUGUCCAGAUUCUUGGAAAGGAUUCACAGUUGCUGCUUUUAAGGAUCUUGUUCCUAUCAUAAAGCUCUCAAUAUCCUCUGCUUGGAGCUAUGGACCUAUGGUACUAUGCUGUUCUGAUCUUACUUGCUGGAUACAUGCCAAACACUGAGGUAGCAAUAUCGGCAUUCUCCAUUUGUGUCCGGGUGGCGAAUGAGUUAGGGCGAGGAAACGCGAAAGCAGUGAAGUUUUAUCACCGGCAGUUGGUCACGGAAUGUUCCAACAGAUGACAGAGGAGGUCUGUGAGCAGUGUCCUAAUGUAAAAUAUGUAAGGGAAGGGCCGAAGGGGACUUUAUAACUGUGGAUAUAGAGAAAGGAAUGCAAGAUGCGGAGGAAGUGGUCUUUUAUGAGGAAGGGUGAACCAAUUAUAGAUGGUGAACCUGGAGAUUUGAGGGUUAGUUUGUCAUUAUUGAUGGCUUAAUUAUAGUCAUGCAGUUCCGCAUUCGUAUAGCGCCACACGACAGGUUUAGGAGAGAAGGUACUUACACGACAACGGCAACUCUAAAAUGGGCUUUAGCUUUUCUAGUCAACCACCCUGUGGUCUUAAAAAUAGCCCAACAGGAGCUUGAAAACCAUGAUGGAAGAGAUAGGAAAGUUGAAGAGUCAGACAUGAACAACUUGGUCUAUCUUCAAGCCAUUAUCAAAGAGACAAUGCGUCUUUAUCGAGCUGCACCACUUUCUGUUCCACAUGAAUCCACAGAAGACUGCAUUGUAGGAGAAGACACGCAAAGAGGAGAUUGUGGUUGUAUUCCAUGGUGGAGCUUUGGUAGCUCUUGUUGAAGCUGCACGCGAUGCAGGAUACGAUGAAGCUUUGGUAGCUCAUUUGGCUUUAAAACCUAGCAAGGCAUGUAUCCGUUAUAUCCCGUUAUUCCUUUUUGUGCUCAACAACACGCGGGUUGAAAGCACUAGUUACUACUGUUUUAAUAUGGUGAUAUAAACAAACCGCUAUGUAAUUUUUGGCGACAUAUGUACAUAGCAGUAAAUUAUUUUUUUUAGGAAAAACCUCAAAAAAAAAUGUGCAUGUAAUUAUAUGUAGGUAACAAUGUAAAUAGCAGUAAAUUAUUUUUUUUU